rnacentral:tRNA from 1 species
CCUUCGAUAGCUCAGUUGGUAGAGCAGAGGACUGUAUGCUGAUAUUCAAUGUGCAAUUAGCAGGUAUUCUUAGGUCGCUGGUUCAUCUCUGGCUUGAAGGA